rnacentral:rRNA from 1 species
CACCAAGAAAUUAAGUCAUAUAUAUACGGUAAAAAGACAGUUAGACUCUAAAAUAAGGGUUUCCUGACUAUUUAUGAAAAAGUAAAAUUUGAACAUAAAUAUGUAAUUCUUUCGUGACCUAGAAGUUGAAUCUGUGACAGCCUUGAGGGAAACUGGGAUUAGAUACCCCACUAUUCUUGGCUAUAAACUAAAUGAAAUUUACCAGGGUACUAUGAAUAUUAAAAUUUAAAACUCAAAGGGCUUGGCGGUGUUUUAGACCCCUCAGGGGAACCUGUCUCAUAAUCGAUAAUCCACGCAGUACCUAACCUCUUUUUGCUAAUUCAGCCUGUAUACCGUUGUCGUCAGGUAACUUUUUAAAAAUUAGGAGUUAGCUAAAAAUAAAAGUAAAUUAAUACGUCAAAUCAAGGUGCAGCCUAUAAGGAGGAGAGGAUGGGUUACAAUUAUAAAAUUAUAAUUACGGAAAAUCAUAAGAAUAAAUGAUAUAAAGGAGGACUUGAAAGUAAAUUAGAAUAUAAAAAUAAUUUGAAUAAGGCUCUGAAAUGUGU